rnacentral:lncRNA from 13 species
AGCCGCGCGGUGUGGUCCUAGCCAGCUUCGGAGAAGCAGUGGUGGCUCCCAUCUGAUGGCGGAGGAGGCAGGUCUCCAUGGUUCUUCUGGGUUGCUCCAAAUGACAGUUUCAUCAUUUUGGUGGCCAAAGAAUAUUCCGUAGUGUAUGCAUAUGAGAGUUUCUUGAUCCCUUUAUCUGUGGAUGAACAGGUGUUUCCAUGUGGCUUCCAGUGACGAGAUUUCACUCAUUUCUAUGAUUGAAGAAUAUUCUCCUCUGGAUGUAUAUUGCAGUUUCCUCAUCCCUUCAUCAAUGGAUGAACAGGUAGGUGUAUUUUCUAUUUUCGCUAUCGUGAGUACUACAGUACACAGGGCAAGGCAGGUAUCUCUUCCACAUAGGAAUGGAAUGAUGGCUAGAUGAAAUGGCAUUUUUACUUUGAGGCACUUCUAGCGGUUUUUCCUAGUGUGUAUACAAAUUGACAUUCCCACUAA